GUAUUUAUAUAACUAGUAAUAAUCUUAGAUUAGUGAAGUGCGUUCGGUCACAGAGGUUCGGUGUAGAGUAGACGUUGUCCAAAAUGUUGUUAUUGCAUCAUAGGGUAGUUAUCAAAAGUGGGCCAGAUGCCAUCAUUUGGAAACAACUGAUUUUUUAUUGCAUCUACUUCUCUUUACUGUUUUUCACAGGCUGGCAUAAGCUAUUCAUUUCUGUUGUCACAUUGUACAUUAACUUUGUCUUCAAUGUUAUCACUGGAAGGGCCUACUGUAAAUCAGGCGAUAUUAUUUCAUGUGUCCAAAUAUCAUUUUCAUACUCAACUGUCAUAUCAGAUGGAACACUACCAAUAGGGAGUGAUUCUAAGGCAAUGUUGAUUGAUAGUCACAUUACUAUAAUGUAGAUUAUUUCUCAAAAGCCAUAGCAUUAUAGCAUUAAUGCAAGUUGCACUUUUUCUUACUUCUGACCUUAACAUCCUUAAAUAUGUUAUCUUUACCCUUUAUCUUAACUAUAAUAAUAGACCCUGGGAUGACUUAGCAAAACUGAUGUAAGCUCUUCAACAUGUUGCUCAAGGCAAAUUAAUGCAAUGAACUGAUUACACCCUUUUGCCUGCCUGGUUUAUGAUAUAAACCCUAAUUAUAGGCGAGCUCGAGGUAUGAGCAUUUCUUCAGUUUGAGUUUAUAGGCCUUGCAACUCAACUAAAUAGAAUUUUGUGCCCCUGGUGUAAAGGAUUUAAAAUGCUUGCAUUAGCAUUUGGACUGGAA